UACGAGGGUAGCGUGUUCGAAGUACUGGCGUAAGGCGCGCGUAGGCGGUGACUCAAGUCAGAGGUGAAAGCCCCGGGGCUCAACCCCGGAACUGCCUUUGAAACUAGGUCGCUAGAAUCUUGGAGAGGUCAGUGGAAUUCCGAGUGUAGAGGUGAAAUUCGUAGAUAUUCGGAGGAACACCAGUGGCGAAGGCGACUGACUGGACAAGUAUUGACGCUGAGGUGCGAAAGUGUGGGGAGCAAACAGGAUUAGAUACCCCCGUAGU
rnacentral:rRNA from 1 species